GGAGUCAGAAAAUCUGAGGUCAAAUUUAGGAUGUGUUGGAUGAGGCAACUACAAUGAAACUUUUAGAGAGGUAACUAUCUACAGGAUCCUAUGCUGAUAUGACCAUGUUAGAAGACGAACUACCAAUAAAAAGAUGACUUUCAUCAGCCCUUGUCAAGGUAUAUUGAGAUGAUUUCUUUGGAGCAAUUCUUGACAACAUUUGUAGUUGAGGCCUUUAGAAUGGAAGAAUGUAUUUCACUAAUUUUUGUAUACAUUUCUUGUUUUGUAUUUAGUGAUAAAGGAAUCUGAAUUGGGCAUAAAUUAUGUUGUAAUAUGAUUUCUUAAGCCUAGACUAGCAGACUAAAUAUUGUAAUUACAUUUGAUUAAUUAAUAAAAAUCUAUUUAUGUUACCUUA